GACGGAAGGUGCAAGCGUUGCUCGGAAUCACUGGGCGUAAAGGGUGCGUAGGCGGCCGUGCAAGUCUGGCGUGAAAGCCCCGGGCUCAGCCCGGGAAGUGCGCUCGAAACUGCGCGGCUCGAGUGCCGGAGGGGAGAGUGGAAUUCCUGGUGUAGCGGUGAAAUGCGUAGAUAUCAUCAGGAACACCGGAGGCGAAGGCGGCUCACUGGGGGUCUUCUGACGCUGAGGAACGAAAGCCAGGGGAGCGAACGGGG
rnacentral:rRNA from 1 species